rnacentral:rRNA from 1 species
UACAGAGGGUGCGAGCGUUAAUCGGAAUUACUGGGCGUAAAGCGUGCGUAGACGGUUAUUUAAGUCGGGCGUGAAAGCCCCGGGCUCAACCUGGGAAUUGCGUUCGAUACUGGAUAGCUAGAGUUCGGCAGAGGGAAGCGGAAUUUCCGGUGUAGCGGUGAAAUGCGUAGAUAUCGGAAGGAACAUCAGUGGCGAAAGCGGCUUCCUGGACCAGAACUGACGAUCAGGCACGAAAGCGUGGGGAGCAAACAGG